UUUAAGCAUAGCCAUAAGUUUCCAUGUCAACUUUGAUCGUCUAUUUUAUUUGAAAUUUUUUUUAUGAUUAGUAUUUUUAUUGCUAUAAGAUAAUAAAACAUGAAUAAUACUUUAUGCGUGACUUAUGUUUUUAAUUUUUUUCCAAAAUCUUUUUAAAUAAGACGGACGAUUAAAGUUGGACACGGAGAUUCAUGUCUGCACUUAAA
rfam:Oryza sativa (indica cultivar-group) chromosome 2, whole genome shotgun sequence.